rnacentral:RNase_P_RNA from 1 species
UCAGCUGGCCGGGCGGCCGCACCAGUAAAUGCCGAAAGGCUGCGGGUGAGGAAAGUCCGGGCUCCAUGGAAACACGGUGCCGGUUAAUUGCCGGCGGGGGCGACCCCAGGGAAAGUGCCACAGAAAGCAAACCGCCCACCGGACUUUCGGGUUCGGUGAGGUAAGGGUGAAAGGGUGGGGUAAGAGCCCACCGCGCGACUGGUAACAGGAGCGGCACGGUAAACCCCACCGGGAGCAAAACCGAAUAGGGAUGGAACGAAGGGCAACCUUCAGGGCCGUUUCCGGUCUUCCGUCCGGGUUGGUUGCGUGAGGCCGAUAGCAAUAUUGGUCCAAGAUGAAUGGCCGCCACGUUCUGACGCUUGCGUCAGGGCCAUACAAAACCCGGCUUACAGGCCAGCUGGCAAU